AAGGAUAUUUUCGGAAUACAAACCUUGGGUUUGUAAGAUUACGUUUUGCGUUCAGUUUUGAAGGUUCAUCAUUACGAUGAAAUACUUCAAAACCUUGUUCUUUGAAAACUGGAUAAAACGACAUUGAAAUUGUAACAAACACAUUUAUUUUUUAAAUUAAGUUUUUAGGCUUAAUAACUAAUAAUAGGGUUUCAAGACACAAGCAGUUCUGGGAAGCGAACGAGUGAAUGAAGGAGCGUACUUACGUACGUGACUGAUUGAACGAGAGAAGCUGACAACGAAAUGCGCAGUGGAUUGGAAGCCGAUAG
rnacentral:misc_RNA from 1 species